rnacentral:rRNA from 1 species
GACGAACGCUGGCGGCGUGCUUAACACAUGCAAGUCGAACGGAAAAGCCCUGCUUUUGUGGGGUGCUCGAGUGGCGAACGGGUGAGUAACACGUGAGUAACCUGCCCUUGACUUUGGGAUAACUUCAGGAAACUGGGGCUAAUACCGGAUAGGAGCUCCUGCUGCAUGGUGGGGGUUGGAAAGUUUCGGCGGUUGGGGAUGGACUCGCGGCUUAUCAGCUUGUUGGUGGGGUAGUGGCUUACCAAGGCUUUGACGGGUAGCCGGCCUGAGAGGGUGACCGGCCACAUUGGGACUGAGAUACGGCCCAGACUCCUACGGGAGGCAGCAGUGGGGAAUAUUGCACAAUGGGCGGAAGCCUGAUGCAGCAACGCCGCGUGCGGGAUGUCGGCCUUCGGGUUGUAAACCGCUUUCGCCUGUGACGAAGCGUGAGUGACGGUAAUGGGUAAAGAAGCACCGGCUAACUACGUG